UACGUAGGGUGCAAGCGUUGUUCGGAUUUAUUGGGCGUAAAGGGUGCGUAGGCGGCCCUGUAAGUCAGUGGUGAAAUCCUCCAGCUUAACUGGAGGGGUGCCAUUGAUACUGCAGGGCUUGAGUUAAGUUGAAGUUGGCGGAAUUGACGGUGUAGCGGUGAAAUGCUUAGAUAUCGUCAAGAACACCGAUAGUGAAGACAGCUAUCUAAACUUUUACUGACGCUGAGGCACGAAAGUGUGGGGAUCAAACAGG
rnacentral:rRNA from 1 species